rnacentral:lncRNA from 1 species
GAUUGAUUAGGAUUUAAAAAAAUAUAUAUAAUCCAUUUUAAAAUAAGGCUGUAACGUAUCAAAAUCUAUAAAAAGUCAAUAUCUCUGAAUACUUUCUGAAUGCACUGUAUCUACCAUCAUUGUCUUUCAGUGGAGGUCUGGUGUUUCUCCUGCGUGGGACCAGAUCAUCUUGAGGGGUUCAGCCUCUCUUGGUCUGGAAAACUUCCUGAACUAGUUCUUCCUGACUAGCAGCUGUUCUUGGCUGGGGUUAGAGCCUCCUCUGACCAAAAAUGCUGGCAACAUCGUCUUCUUUAUCGUCUUCUAACAUCAACUUCACCUUUGCACUGGCCUCUCCUUUCAGGUGCUGUUUGAUUAGCUCAGCCCGAUCACUCACAGGCACAUGGGAGACCCGGAUGGUCGAAUUUACCAGAGUGAUCCAUUCCUCAACAAUCUGCUCUCCUGCGGCCCCACUGAAGUCAGGUAGCUUUCGUUCUCGAGGAAUGUACACAGUUGGUGCAGCAGCUUUCUUUUGCUGCUAGAUGACAGAAUGUGCUAGCGACACAGCUCCUCGCUGAUCCUCACAGGGCUGCUGCAGUGCUCCACAUUGCUGUUGCAAUCUCUGUCAACUCAGCAACUUUUUUUUUUAAAUCUUCAAUCUCUAACCUAGCCUCGAACCCUUUUUACAUUUUUCAACACGGAAAAACUGUUUGGUUGAUCCUGUUCAUGACGCCAAAUGUAACAGGACAUCAACAGAAACUACUUCCACGGGAAUCUUUUAUAACUAAAUCACUUCAACUCACGGCUCUCUUCUGAUGUCGGUAAGAAUGAUUUGAUGUCCAUCACUCCGGCGGGAAUCUAGCUAGCAUCACUCCGGCUGGUAGCUAGCUCCAUCAAUUGAACUCAUGACAAACCCGAAAGCGAAAAUUACAGUCAUUCGGUGGUUUGGAACAAUCCUCUUUCAGAACUAGCACGUCCUCUUUCUUCCACGAUACUCAGAUGUAAGUUACUUUCUGAAUUCGACUCUUCUCUACUUGUUAUUGUUCUCUAACUCUCUCCUCCUUUAGUAACACACUCACUCAUGCCACCUCUCUCCAGGAUCUUUCAGAGCUGGCCAUGAGAUCACCUGGCUUAUAGUGGUCUUGCAAAGUCCCUGAACAGAACGGCAAAAGCUAUAUCCCUAGACUCUGCCACACCUACAAAGUGCCCUGACCUCAACCCCAUCGAAAACCUUUAGGAUGAAUUGGAAUGCCAAUUGUGAGCCAUACCUAAUCGCCUAACAUCAGUGCCCGACCUCACUAAUGCUCGUGGCUGAAUUAAGUCCCUGCAGCAAUGUUAUAGCAGCAAAGGGGGACCAACUCCAUAUUAAUGCCCAUGAUUUUGGAAUUAGAUGUUCGACUAGCAGGUGUCCACAUACUUUUGGUCAUGUAGUGUAUUGCCUAUUUAUUAUUACUUUAUUAUUAAGUGUUUUACAUUUCUGUUAUUUCUCAAUUUUCUUUCUGUCUGCAUUGUUGAGAAGGGCCCGUAAGUAAGCAUUUCGCUGUUAGACUACAAUAGCUUUUUUACCAAGCAUGUGACCCAUAAAAUUACAUUUUAUUUAAUUUAAUUUAAUGAAGGGCCCGAUCAGAUCAUCUUUGGCUGAGGUCAUUGACCUGGGUAGGCUAAAGUUUAACAUUUACAUGUGCAUUUUAGUA